AACGAACGCUGGCGGCAGGCCUAAAACAUGCAAGUCGAACGAACCUUCGGGUUAGUGGCGCACGGGUGAGUAACGCGUGGGAAUAUGCCCUUCACUGCGGAACAACGUCGGGAAACUGACGCUAAUACCGCAUAAUGACUCCGGUCCAAAGAUUUAUCGGUGAAGGAUUAGCCCGCGUCUGAUUAGCUAGUUGGUGAGGUAAUGGCUCACCAAGGCGACGAUCAGGAGGGGGUCUGAGAGGAUGAUCCCCCACACUGGAACUGAGACACGGUCCAGACUCCUACGGGAGGCAGCAGUUAGGAAUAUUGGACAAUGGGGGAGACCCUGAUCCAGCCAUGCCGCGUGUGUGAAGAAGGCCUUAGGGUUGUAAAGCACUUUCAGCUGUGAAGAUAAUGACAGUAGCAGAAGAAGAAGCUCCGGCUAAAUUCGUGCCAGCAGCCGCCGUAA
rnacentral:rRNA from 1 species